GCUUUGGUCUAGUGGUAUGAUUCUCGCUUUGGGUGCGAGAGGUCCCGGUUUCGAUUACCGGUUGGGCC
rnacentral:tRNA from 1 species